rnacentral:rRNA from 2 species
ACGGAAGGCAGCAGUGGGGAAUAUUGCACAAUGGGGGAAACCCUGAUGCAGCGACGCCGCGUGAGUGAAGAAGUAUUUCGGUAUGUAAAGCUCUAUCAGCAGGGAAGAAAAUGACGGUACCUGACUAAGAAGCCCCGGCUAACUACGUGCCAGCAGCCGCGGUAAUACGUAGGGGGCAAGCGUUAUCCGGAUUUACUGGGUGUAAAGGGAGCGUAGACGGUUCUGCAAGUCUGAUGUGAAAGGCAGGGGCUCAACUCCUGGACUGCAUUGGAAACUGUAGAACUAGAGUGCCGGAGAGGUAAGCGGAAUUCCUAGUGUAGCGGUGAAAUGCGCAGAUAUUAGGAGGAACACCAGUGGCGAAGGCGGCUUACUGGACGGUAACUGACGUUGAGGCUCGAAAGCGUGGGGAGCAAACAGGAUUAGAUACCCUGGUA